AUUGAACGCUGGCGGCAGGCCUAACACAUGCAAGUCGAGCGGAGCGGCGGACGGGUGAGUAAUGCAUAGGAAUCUGCCUGGUAGUGGUGGAUAACGUCCGGAAACGAGCGCUAAUACCGCAUACUAUCAGAUGAGCCUAGGUCGUAUUGGCUAGUAGGUGGGGUAAAGGCCUACCAAGGCUACGAUCGGUAACUGGUCUGCGGGCGUGAUCAGUCACACGGGAAAUGGGAAACGGUCCAGGCCCCUACGGGAGGCAGCAGUGGGGAAUAUUGGACAAUGGGCGAAAGCCUGAUCCAGCCAUGCCGCGUGUGUGAAGAAGGUCUUCGGAUUUUGAAGCACUUUAAGUUGGGAGGCGUUACCAGCAGAAUAAGCACCGGCUAACUUCGUGCCAGCCGCCGCGGUAAUAC
rnacentral:rRNA from 1 species